AUGGGAUGGAGCUGGAUCUUACUCUUCCUCCUCUCAGUAACUAUAGGCGUCCAGUCUGAGGUUCAACUGCAGCAGUCUGGAGCUGAGCUGGUGCAGCCUGGGGCUUCAGUGAAGCUGUCCUGCAAGGCUUCUGGCUAUGAGUUUGCCAGCUACUAUAUGAGCUGGGUAAAGCAGAGUCAUGGAAAGAGCUUUGAGUGGAUUGGGACUAUUGGUCCUUAUGGUGGUACUGACUACAAUGACAUGUUCAAGGACAAGGCCACUUUGACUGUAGUCAAAUCCUCCAGCACAGUCUAUAUGGAGCUUAGCAGACUGACAUCUGAGGACUCUGCGGUCUAUUACUGUGGAAGACACAGUGUGACAACCACAUCCUGA